UCAGGCCUAACACAUGCAAGUCGAACGGCAGCGCGGGUGCUUGCACCUGGCGGCGAGUGGCGAACGGGUGAGUAAUAUAUCGGAACGUGCCCUAGAGUGGGGGAUAACUAGUCGAAAGAUUAGCUAAUACCGCAUACGAUCUACGGAUGAAAGUGGGGGAUCGCAAGACCUCAUGCUCCUGGAGCGGCCGAUAUCUGAUUAGCUAGUUGGUGGGGUAAAAGCCUACCAAGGCGACGAUCAGUAGCUGGUCUGAGAGGACGACCAGCCACACUGGGACUGAGACACGGCCCAGACUCCUACGGGAGGCAGCAGUGGGGAAUUUUGGACAAUGGGGGCAACCCUGAUCCAGCAAUGCCGCGUGUGUGAAGAAGGCCUUCGGGUUGUAAAGCACUUUUGUCAGGAACGAAACGGCGGGGGCUAAUAUCCUCUGCUAAUGAC
rnacentral:rRNA from 1 species